ACCAGCCAACUAGUAUCCAUAGGGAUCCAUAGGGGUCCCGCUACCCGUGAACCUUUAACACUUAUAAUCAGAUUCCAGGGCCGUCCCCAUACCCCGUCCGGUAUGGACGCCAAAACUAUAAACCUCAAUAUCUCGUCCGGUAUGAGGGUGAAACGGACCGUCCCCAUACCCCGUCCGGUAUGGGCGCCAAAACACAUAAGGUCUCCAUACCCCGUCCGGUAUGAGAGACCAC
rnacentral:lncRNA from 1 species